CUGGCAGUAAACGGUGCACGCUUGGUGUGAGGGGAAUCGACCCCCCUUGUGCCGGAGCAAACGCGUUAAGCGUGCCGCCUGGGAAGUACGGUCGCAAGACUAAAACUCAAAGAAAUUGACGGGGACCCGCACAAGCGGUGGAGUAUGUGGCUUAAUUCGAUGCAACGCGAAGAACCUUACCAAGGCUUGACAUGGACUUCUAAGCACGUGAAAGCGUGUGACCCUUCGGGGAACUUCCACAGGUGCUGCAUGGCCGCCGUCAGCUCGUGUCGUGAGAUGUUGGGUUAAGUCCCGCAACGAGCGCAACCCUUGUCAUUAGUUGCUACGAAAGGGCACUCUAAUGAGACUGCCGGUGACAAACCG
rnacentral:rRNA from 1 species